rnacentral:rRNA from 1 species
AGCGAACGCUGGCGGCAGGCUUAACACAUGCAAGUCGAGCGGGCACCUUCGGGUGUCAGCGGCAGACGGGUGCGUAACACGUGGGAACGUACCCUUCGGUUCGGAAUAACGCUGGGAAACUAGCGCUAAUACCGGAUACGCCCUUAUGGGGAAAGGUUUACUGCCGAAGGAUCGGCCCGCGUCUGAUUAGCUAGUUGGUGGGGUAACGGCCUACCAAGGCGACGAUCAGUAGCUGGUCUGAGAGGAUGAUCAGCCACACUGGGACUGAGACACGGCCCAGACUCCUACGGGAGGCAGCAGUGGGGAAUAUUGGACAAUGGGCGCAAGCCUGAUCCAGCCAUGCCGCGUGAGUGAUGAAGGCCUUAGGGUUGUAAAGCUCUUUUGUCCGGGACGAUAAUGACGGUACCGGAAGAAUAAGCCCCGGCUAACUUCGUG